UACGUAGGGUGCGAGCGUUAAUCGGAUUUACUGGGCGUAAAGCGUGCGUAGGCGGUUCUACGUGUCCGAUGUGAAAGCCCCGGGCUCAACCUGGGAAUGGCAUUGGAAACUGGUGGACUCGAGUGUGGCAGAGGGGGGUGGAAUUCCGCGUGUAGCAGUGAAAUGCUUAGAGAUGCGGAGGAACACCGAUGGCGAAGGCAGCCCCCUGGGCUAACACUGACGCUCAGGCACGAAAGCGUGGGGAGCAAACAGG
rnacentral:rRNA from 1 species